rnacentral:misc_RNA from 1 species
UACGGAGGGUGCGAGCGUUGUUCGGAAUUAUUGGGCGUAAAGCGCACGUAGGUGGCUUCUUAAGUCUCUUGGUGAAAGGCCGGGGCUCAACCCCGCGCUGGCCGGGGAUACUGGGGAGCUGGAGACAGGUAGAGGCGAGCGGAAUUCCGGGUGUAGCGGUGGAAUGCGUAGAGAUCCGGAAGAACACCAGAGGCGAAGGCGGCUCGCUGGACCUGAUCUGACACUGAGGUGCGAAAGCGUGGGGAGCGAACAGG